rnacentral:rRNA from 1 species
UACGUAGGGUGCGAGCGUUAAUCGGAAUUACUGGGCGUAAAGCGUGCGCAGGCGGCGCGUUAAGACAGGUGUGAAAGCCCCGAGCUUAACUUGGGAAUUGCGCUUGUGACUGGCGUGCUGGAGUGUGGCAGAGGGAGGUGGAAUUCCCUGUGUAGCGGUGAAAUGCGUAGAGAUGGGGGAGAACACUCGUGGCGAAGGCGGCCAGCUAGACCAGUUCUGACACUGAGGCGCGACAGCGUGGGGAGCAAACAGG